GACGAACGCUGGCGGCGUGCUUAACACUUGCAAGUCGAACGGAAAGGCCCUGCUUUUGUGGGGUGCUCGAGUGGCGAACGGGUGAGUAACACGUGAGUAACCUGCCCUUGACUUUGGGAUAACUUCAGGAAACUGGGGCUAAUACCGGAUAGCAGCUCCUGCUGCAUGGUGGGGGUUGGAAAGUUUCGGCGGUUGUGGAUGGACUCGCGGCUUAUCAGCUUGUUGGUGGGGGAGUGGCUUACCAAGGCUUUGACGGGUAGCCGGCCUGGGAGGGUGACCGGCCACAUUGGGACUGAGAUACGGACCAGACGCCUACGGGAGGCAGCAGUGGGGAGUAUUGCACAAUGGGCGGAAGCCUGAUGCAGAAACGCCGCGUGCGGGAUGACGGCCUUCUGGUUGUAAACCGCUUCCGCCUGUGACGAAGCGUGAGUGACGGUAAUGGGUAAAGAAGCACCGGCUAACUACGUG
rnacentral:rRNA from 1 species